rnacentral:rRNA from 1 species
AGACUGCAAGGCUAGAAUCUGGCAGAGGGGGGUAGAAUUCCACGUGUAGCAGUGAAAUGCGUAGAUAUGUGGAGGAACACCGAUGGCGAAGGCAGCCCCCUGGGUCAAGAUUGACGCUCAUGCACGAAAGCGUGGGGAGCAAACAGGAUUCGAUACCGUGGUAGUCCACGCCCUAAACGAUGUCUAGUAGUUGUCGGGUCUUAAUUGACUUGGUAACGCAGCUAACGCGUGAAGUAGACCGCGUGGGGAGUACGGUCGCAAGAUUAAAACUCAAAGGAAUUGACGGGGACCCGCACAAGCGGUGGAUGAUGUGGAUUAAUUCGAUGCAACGCGAAAAACCUUACCUACCCUUGACAUGGCUGGAAUCCUUGAGAGAUCAGGGAGUGCUCGAAAGAGAACCAGUACACAGGUGCUGCAUGGCUGUCGUCAGCUCGUGUCGUGAGAUGUUGGGUUAAGUCCCGCAACGAGCGCAACCCUUGUCAUUAGUUGCUACGAAAGGGCACUCUAAUGAGACUGCCGGUGACAAACCGGAGGAAGGUGGGGAUGACGUCAAGUCCUCAUGGCCCUUAUGGGUAGGGCUUCACACGUCAUACAAUGGUACAUACAGAGCGCCGCCAACCCGCGAGGGGGAGCUAAUCGCAGAAAGUGUAUCGUAGUCCGGAUUGUAGUCUGCAACUCGACUGCAUGAAGUUGGAAUCGCUAGUAAUCGCGGAUCAGCAUGUCGCGGUGAAUACGUUCCCGGGUCUUGUACACACCGCCCGUCACACCAUGGGAGCGGGUUCACCAGAAGUAGGUAGCUUAACCCUAAGGAGGGCGCUAUCACUGUGUCG